UGUUUUUUUAGACAUAAUGCUAUUGCACACUUAAUAGACUACAGUAUAGUAUAAACAUAGCUUUAAUUUGCUCUGGGGAACCAAAAAAUUUGUGUGACUCACUCAUUGAAUUGUUCAUUUUAUUGCAGUGGUCUGGAACCAAAGCUGCAAUAUCUCCAAGGAGGUCUGUAUUUCGGAAUUGUCGUUUAGUGAAUGUGUGACCAUGAAUAUAUUCAUGCAUGUGCAUUGUGUUUUUCCCUUUGCUUCCCAAAGAUAAAAUCACAGACUUGAGACACACAGGAGGGGAUGAAUAUUUUACUCCCUCUUGAUAUGUAUUUAAAAGUUUGCCUUCCAGAAGGAAUCAGCCAAUGUACCUCUCCACCAGCUGUACUUACAUGUGUGCCGGCCUGUAGAAGACACCACAGAUUACCCACUGCAUGUCCCUCAGGAAAUGAGACCUGAUUUGAUUCUGGAGUGUGGGGGGCAAUUUGCCCAUCCCACCCUGUAUCUAUGGGUAGCUAAUGAGAUGUAAGCAGAAUUACUGAGUGAGUCAUCUGGAAAGCUCCUUAAGAGGGGAUAACUGGAAAUGAGCCCUUUUUGCCCCCAUGCCUGCUUUCUGUUGUGAUGGUUGGAUCUCCAGCAGCCAUCUUGGGCCAUGAGGCUAUUUUGAGGAUGGAAGCUCCACACUAUGCAAGGCAGAAAAGAAAGAUCCCCCCCACUCCCUCCUGCUGAGCUGACAUUGCCCUGUUGCAUAUCCCAGCUGCUCUGUGGGUUUUGUGAAACUGUGUGUGAAGUCUCUAUCUCAUUGUAUUAUAUGCAGGCAAGACUGAACUCUCCUACAGAUGUCUGGAGUAAGCUAUGGUGUAGUGUUUUUUUUGGCACAUAAUAAGCAUGUUACAGCAGAAAAAAUAAUAAUAAUAAUAAUACUGUGGAGGAGCCAUGCCAGCCUUAGAUUUCCUGUCUCCAGGCUUGUUUCAAUGUGAGAGUAAAAUAAAUCCAGUAUUAGUUAAGUCUUUGAAUUUUAGACCUCUAUUACUAGUAACUGAGCUACUUCUUAACCUCUCCAGAACAUUACUAGCAUUGGCUUUAGCACAUUACAUUUUUUUUAAUUAUGUAUAGGUGUCAAAUAAGACUUAAUUGUUGCUUAAUUGUACAUUUUUGGAGGAACAUUACAGGCAGAAGGAGUACCACAAGCAAAGCUGUGCAAAUUGGGAAUGACAGCCAUUUUCAAAAACACAACAGUCACUUCCUGGGGCAUAACACCGUCUGAUACCAUCUUACUGAGAGGGUGUCAGCCUUAGCUGAAAGCAAGGAAAGAACCAGGGGUUAGCCAACCAAACAGGAUUCAAGAGAAACUUGAAAGAAGAGGCUGUGGGGACCAACAUUUUCAGACCGAGAAGCACAGCCCAGGCAUUACAGCAGGCGAGCAGCGGCCAGAGGGUAAAAGGCAAGUUAAAGUAAAACCAUCUUGCUCCCUCACCUCGUUGCCCUACAGUUGUUCUUAGCAAACAAGGUCCUCUGGGAACUCCUGCUUUUUGAUGACAUAGGCUUUACCAGGAUGAAGGUAGCCUUGCUAUCUGUUGGACCAAAUCUGCUCAUCAACUGUGAGAAAUGACCGAUGACAGGACAUCACCUGGUCAUCGGGAACCCAGCCAGCAUGAAAACUGUGUCGGCUGACCCUGGAACCUAUACAGGAUCCCUCUUUAGGACUCUUUUCUUCACGGAUUUAUGCAAGUAAAAUAACUAAAAAUGGUG